rnacentral:rRNA from 1 species
GCAAUCUACCUUUUACAGAGGGAUAGCCCAGAGAAAUUUGGAUUAAUACCUCAUAGUAUGCAGAGUUGGCAUCAACACUGCAUUAAAGUCACAACGGUAAAAGAUGAGCAUGCGUCCCAUUAGCUAGUUGGUAAGGUAACGGCUUACCAAGGCUACGAUGGGUAGGGGUCCUGAGAGGGAGAUCC